AGAGUUUGAUCAUGGCUCAGGACGAACGCUGGCGGCGUGCUUAACACAUGCAAGUCGACGACGAUUAUGUAGCAAUAUGUAAUUGGAGUGGCGCACGGGUGCGUAACGCGUAUGUAAUCUGCCUUUAGGACGGGGACAACAUUUCCAACGAAGUGCUAAAACCCGAUAAUGCAGCGGCAUCACAUGAUGACAGUUGUUAAAACUUCGGUGCCUAAAGAUGAACAUGCGUCUGAUUAGCUAGUUGGUGAGGUAACAGCUCACCAAGGCAACGAUCAGUAGCUGGUCUGAGAGGAUGAUCAGCCACACUGGAACUGAGAUACGGUCCAGACUCCUACGGGAGGCAGCAGUGAGGAAUAUUGCGCAAUGGACGAAAGUCUGACGCAGCAACGCCGCGUGUGGGAUGAAGGUCUUUUAGGUCGUAAACCACUGUAGAAGGGAAAAAAUAUCCGCCUCGGGCGGAUUGAUGGUACCCUUAAAGUAAGCCUCGGCUAACUACGUGCCAGCAGCCGCGGUAAUACGUAGGAGGCAAGCGUUGUCCGGAUUCACUGGGUGUAAAGGGUCCGCAGGCGGGUAAAUAAGUCGGUGGUGAAAUCCUUCCGCUUAACGGAAGAACUGCCUCCGAUACUGUUUACCUUGAGUACAGAAGAGGGUGAUGGAAUUCCAGGUGUAGCGGUGAAAUGCGUAGAUAUCUGGAAGAACACCGGUUGCGAAGGCUGUUGCCUGGUCUGUUACUGACGCUCAUGGACGAAAGCGUGGGGAUCAAACAGGAUUAGAUACCCUGGUAGUCCAAUCCGAAUCGCGCCCCCCAAUUU
rnacentral:rRNA from 1 species